rnacentral:rRNA from 1 species
UACGAAGGGGGCUAGCGUUGUUCGGAAUCACUGGGCGUAAAGGGCGCGUAGGCGGCUUUAUAAGUCGGGGGUGAAAGCCUGUGGCUCAACCACAGAAUUGCCUUCGAUACUGUAGAGCUUGAGACCGGAAGAGGUAAGUGGAACUGCGAGUGUAGAGGUGAAAUUCGUAGAUAUUCGCAAGAACACCAGUGGCGAAGGCGGCUUACUGGCCCGGUUCUGACGCUGAGGUGCGAAAGCGUGGGGAGCAAACAGG